CAGCCGCCGCGGUAAUACGUAGGUGGCAAGCGUUGUCCGGAAUUAUUGGGCGUAAAGCGCGCGCAGGCGGCCUAUCCAGUCUGUCUUAAAAGUUCGGGGCUCAACCCCGUGAUGGGAUGGAAACUAGUAGGCUAGAGUAUCGGAGAGGAAAGCGGAAUUCCUAGUGUAGCGGUGAAAUGCGUAGAUAUUAGGAAGAACACCAGUGGCGAAGGCGGCUUUCUGGACGAAAACUGACGCUGAGGCGCGAAAGCCAGGGGAGCGAACGGGAUUAGAUACCCCAGUAGUCCCGUCUCUUAUACAC
rnacentral:rRNA from 1 species